ACGCUGGCGGCGUGCUUAACACAUGCAAGUCGAACGGAAAGGCCCUGCUUUUGUGGGGUGCUCGAGUGGCGAACGGGUGAGUAACACGUGUGUAACCUGCCCUUGACUUUGGGAUAACUUCAGGAAACUGGGGCUAAUACCGGAUAGGAGCUCCUGCUGCAUGGUGGGGGUUGGAAAGUUUCGGCGGUUGGGGAUGGACUCGCGGCUUAUCAGCUUGUUGGUGGGGUAGUGGCUUACCAAGGCUUUGACGGGUAGCCGGCCUGAGAGGGUGACCGGCCACAUUGGGACUGAGAUACGGCCCAGACUCCUACGGGAGGCAGCAGUGGGGAAUAUUGCACAAUGGGCGGAAGCCUGAUACAGCAACGCCGCGUGCGGGAUGACGGCCUUCGGGUUGUAAACCGCUUUCGCCUGUGACGAAGCGUGAGUGACGGUAAUGGGUAAAGAAGCACCGGCUAACUACGUGCCAGCAGCCGCGGUGAUACGUAGGGUGCGAGCGUUGUCCGGAUUUAUUGGGCGUAAAGGGCUCGUAGGUGGUUGAUCGCGUCGGAAGUGUAAUCUUGGGGCUUAACCCUGAGCGUGCUUUCGAUACGGGUUGACUUGAGGAAGGUAGGGGAGAAUGGAAUUCCUGGUGGAGCGGUGGAAUGCGCAGAUAUCAGGAGGAACACCAGUGGCGAAGGCGGUUCUCUGGGCCUUUCCUGACGCUGAGGAGCGAAAGCGUGGGGAGCGAACAGGCUUAGAUACCCUGGUAGUCCACGCUGUAAACGGUGGGUACUAGGUGUGGGGUCCAUUCCACGGGUUCCGUGCCGUAGCUAACGCUUUAAGUACCCCGCCUGGGGAGUACGGCCGCAAGGCUAAAACUCAAAGGAAUUGACGGGGCCCCGCACAAGCGGCGGAGCAUGCGGAUUAAUUCGAUGCAACGCGUAGAACCUUACCUGGGUUUGACAUGGAUCGGGAGUGCUCAGAGAUGGGUGUGCCUCUUUUGGGGUCGGUUCACAGGUGGUGCAUGGCUGUCGUCAGCUCGUGUCGUGAGAUGUUGGGUUAAGUCCCGCAACGAGCGCAACCCUUGUUCACUGUUGCCAGCACGUUAUGGUGGGGACUCAGUGGAGACCGCCGGGGUCAACUCGGAGGAAGGUGGGGAUGACAUCAAGUCAUCAUGCCCCUUAUGUCCAGGGCUUCACGCAUGCUACAAUGGCUGGUACAGAGAGUGGCGAGCCUGUGAGGGUGAGCGAAUCUCGGAAAGCCGGUCUCAGUUCGGAUUGGGGUCUGCAACUCGACCUCAUGAAGUCGGAGUCGCUAGUAAUCGCAGAUCAGCAACGCUGCGGUGAAUACGUUCCCGGGGCUUGUACACACCGCCCGUCAAGUCAUGAAAGUUGGUAACACCCGAAGCCGGUGGCCUAACCAUUGUGGGGGAGCCGUCGAAGGUGGGACUGGUGAU
rnacentral:rRNA from 1 species